rnacentral:rRNA from 1 species
CAGUAGCCACGGUAAUACGGAGGGUGCAAGCGUUAAUCGGAAUUACUGGGCGUAAAGCGCACGCAGGCGGUUUGUCAAGUCGGAUGUGAAAUCCCCGGGCUCAACCUGGGAACUGCAUUCGAAACUGGCAGGCUAGAGUCUUGUAGAGGGGGGUAGAAUUCCAGGUGUAGCGGUGAAAUGCGUAGAGAUCUGGAGGAAUACCGGUGGCGAAGGCGGCCCCCUGGACAAAGACUGACGCUCAGGUGCGAAAGCGUGGGGAGCAAACAGGAUUAGAUACCCCUGUAGUCCCUGUCUCUUAUAC